CGGACGGGUGAGUAACGCGUGGGUAACCUGCCUUGUACUGGGGGACAACAGUUAGAAAUGACUGCUAAUACCGCAUAAGCGCACAGUAUCGCAUGAUACAGUGUGAAAAACUCCGGUGGUACAGAUGGACCCGCGUCUGAUUAGCUAGUUGGUAAGGUAACGGCUUACCAAGGCGACGAUCAGUAGCCGACCUGAGAGGGUGACCGGCCACAUUGGGACUGAGACACGGCCCAA
rnacentral:rRNA from 1 species